GGGAGCGUGCCCGAGUGGUUAAAGGGGGCAGACUGUAAAUCUGUUGCGAGAGCUACGGUGGUUCGAAUCCACCCGCUCCCACCA
rnacentral:tRNA from 1 species